GAAGGAUCAUUACCUAGAGUUGUAGGCUUUGCCUGCUAUCUCUUACCUAUGUCUUUUGAGUACCUUACGUUUCCUCAGCGGGUCUGCCCGCUGAUUGGACAAUUUAAACCAUUUGUAGUUGCAAUUAGCGUCUGAAAAAACUUAAUAGUUACAACUUUCAACAACGGAUCUCUUGGUUCUGGCAUCGAUGAAGAACGCAGCGAAAUGCGAUAAGUAGUGUGAAUUGCAGAAUUCAGUGAAUCAUCGAAUCUUUGAACGCACAUUGCGCCCCUUGGUAUUCCAUGGGGCAUGCCUGUUCGAGCGUCAUUUGUACCUUCAAGCUCUGCUUGGUGUUGGGUGUUUGUCUCGCCUCUGCGUGUAGACUCGCCUCAAAACAAUUGGCAGCCGGCGUAUUGAUUUCGGAGCGCAGUACAUCUCGCGCUUUGCACUCAUAACGACGACGUCCAAAAGUACAUUUUUACACUCUUGACCUCGGAUCAGGUAGGGAUACCCGCUGAACUUAA
rnacentral:rRNA from 1 species